rnacentral:snoRNA from 11 species
AGCACCUAAAAGCGUUUUCUUGUACGCCAACUCAAUGCGCUUGAAAAUCGUAGCUGUGUGCUAGAGCAAAGCUUAGUUGCAGGUGACUUUUUGUACUUCAAAUAAGAGUCCAUAACGCUGAGUACAUUU